ensembl:lncRNA
CCAGCCAGGUCUAGGAAGUGCUCCAGACAGUGCUCCAGACAGACUAGGAAGCUGCUACAGGACUCUGACCCUCUUGUAAAACUGGGGAAACUGAGGCCGUAAUACUGACGCUAGCUGUUCUGGAAAAGUGCACCGUCUCCAUGGAAACCGCGGAGGAGGUCACGGUAGCUGGGCCCCCUCGCGUCACCCCGAGCCUCGCCGGCUGCAGGCGCCGGGAUUGCGGCCUCCCAGGCGCCUCGGCCCGCGUGGACUCUACUCUGAGUUCCCCGCCCCCGCUCCACUCAGCCCGCGGCUCAGACCAUAUGACUCUGCCGGGUCCUAACCGGGAAGGGCGCACCUGGGCACCAGUGCGCUAGGCUAUGCCUCUGUCCCCAGGCUUUGGCACGAGGGAGUGCGCCAAGAUACACGUGCCCAGCUCCAAGACUAGAACACGUGCAGCGAGACGCCACCAAGGGGCUCACGGAACUAGUGAAUGCCCUGUGCGAUCGACCUAUAUAGGUGCACCACUCCAGACCUCUUGCUAAAACAAGACCACCCGUAAAGAACCUGGAGUCCCGCCUAGGUAUCUUGCUAGCUGUGUGACUUCGGGCAAGUCGCAACCUCUCUGCGUCUCACCUUGCUCAUCAGCAAAAUGGAAUUGUCGCGUGGCUUGAGAAAAAGUACGUUAAACGUUUAACACUAUGUUUGGCACGUGGUUCUGAAAAAUGGUAGCUGUCACUAGGGUUAUUUUUUACAGACUGCAAAAGCCGAGGCCCAAAAAGCGUGGCUCAAGGGCGCGGUCAGCCCAAAGGCCGAGUUACACCUUGGGAGCUUCCCAGCAUCUUAGCCUAGUCUCAGGCCGGAGGUUGAGGGGACACGUGCCUGCUUUGCUGAGCCUGGGCCUGCCUGGGGCGCGACGGGCGGGACCUCCUAGCCAGCCACAUCCGCACCCGGAACCCUGGAGACGGGACUCCCCGCAGUGCGCGCCCCACCCCCCUCCUGCCCCAGCACUAUUAGCAACGGGCCUGCCUGCCCUCCCUCCCUCCCAGGGCUGAGGCCGCACCUGCCCCACCGGAUGGCCGCCCCGGGGCCAGGCCGUGCCCCCCACCGCGCACACUUCCUCCCGGACCCCCAGCGCCCCGCUGAGCACGCAGGGAGGAGGGGACCCGGCCGCCCCCGCCCAGCCAGCUUCCCACAGCCCGAGCAGCCCGGAGCCGAGGAGGCAGGAAGUCUCAGAGCCGGGGCGUGGAGGCGGGGUAGGGGCAGGAAGUUGGGGGUGACUCUCCCAGAGACCCUAGACAGGCCCCGGCGUGGGAGCGGGAUGGGCGGGCGCGUAGGGAUUAAGGGCGCGCCCCCACCCCCGCCUCUGUAGCCUUAGACCACGUGAUCCCGGCCGGAGCGCCCCGCUGGGUGAGGGCGAAGGCCGCUACCUCUGGCGACCCCCAGCAGCGCGCACUAGGAGGGAGGGGCAGCCUUUGUCUACUUUGCCGCAGAAGCAGCCCCCCACAACCCCUCCCCCACGCGCCCGGCCGGGCCCUGCACAGCCCGGGUUUUCCAUCCGGCCCGGCUCGGCUCGGCAGCUGUCAGGGGACCGAGCUGACCUUCGCAAGCAGGGAGUUUCAAUUAGCCGCAGAUCAGAUAAGCGGGCGGGCCAGUCUCUCCGGGCACCGCGGGGGCGCAGCCCCGCCCCCGCCACGCCGCGCCAAACGCGCUCCAGAUGGGAACAAAGAUGGGGACGCAGCUCCACCUGCCUCCCCGGGGAGGGGGGAACUGGAGGCCCCGCCGAGAGGAGCUUCCCAACGGAGGAAGGGGUUGCGCACCCUCCCCAGCCCGUCUAGGCUCUCAUUCGGGGCUGGGGUCUAGUCAAAACGAUCCUUGCAACUCUCCUUGCCUCCUGCACAGCGGAGAGGUGCCUGCCACGCUGACCUCAUCUCCAGGCGGGCAUCGAGCCCUCCCACCCCCGGAGGAACGCUUUUGCCAUCUCUGAUCUCAUCCGGAGCUCUCCCUGGGAGGCAGAGAGGAGACAAGAGCCCAACAGAGAAAGGAACCUGAGGUAGAGAAGGGCUGGACUUCUUGAUCCAGAUCACACCAACCACAACAUUCUUUCAGAUGUUUAUCUAGUGCGUACUAAGUACCAGGCGCAGUUUAGACCAUGGGGACAUCAGCCUCUUAGAGCUUACAUUCUCAUUCAGGGAGACAGACCAUAAUCAAGUAAACAAAUAGUUGAACAGAAUCAUUUCGGAGAUUCUAAAGAGCCAUAAGAUACUAAAACAGGCCACGUGAGACUGGAUUUCAGGGAGGUGACGUGUUAUGGUAGUCAGGGAGGGCCUCUCUGAGGAGGUGACAUCUGAACUGAAGCCUGAAAGACCAGAAGGAACCAGUCAAGCAAAGGAGAGGGUGUGGAGCAUGCCACUGUGGACGUGACUUUUGGUUCAAAGGGGAAGCAGACAGGACAGGGCUUUGCAGACCAGGUGUGGCAUCAGGGUUUAUGAAAAGUGCAGUGGGAGCCUUUGGUGGGUUCUAAGCUGGGAGUGACAUGGUCUGACUUACAUUUUUAAAGAUCCCUCUGGCUACUGUAUAGAUCAGAGGAAGGCAGAGGGAUAAGAG